rnacentral:rRNA from 1 species
CCUACGGGUGGCAGCAGUGGGGAAUAUUGGACAAUGGGGGCAACCCUGAUCCAGCCAUGCCGCGUGUGUGAAGAAGGCCCUCGGGUUGUAAAGCACUUUCAGUGAGGAAGAACGCCUGGUGGUUAAUACCCAUCAGGAAAGACAUCACUCACAGAAGAAGCACCGGCUAACUCCGUGCCAGCAGCCGCGGUAAUACGGAGGGUGCGAGCGUUAAUCGGAAUUACUGGGCGUAAAGCGCGCGUAGGUGGCUUGAUAAGCCGGUUGUGAAAGCCCCGGGCUCAACCUGGGAACGGCAUCCGGAACUGUCGAGCUAGAGUGCAGGAGAGGAAGGUAGAAUUCCCGGUGUAGCGGUGAAAUGCGUAGAGAUCGGGAGGAAUACCAGUGGCGAAGGCGGCCUUCUGGACUGACACUGACACUGAGGUGCGAAAGCGUGGGUAGCAAACAGGAUUAGAUACCCCAGUAGUC